rnacentral:rRNA from 1 species
AACGAACGCUGGCGGCAUGCCUAACACAUGCAAGUCGAACGAGACCUUCGGGUCUAGUGGCGCACGGGUACGUAACGCGUGGGAAUCUGCCCUUAGGUUCGGAAUAACUCCCCGAAAGGGGAGCUAAUACCGGAUAAUGUCUUCGGACCAAAGAUUUAUCGCCUUUGGAUGGGCCCGCGUUGGUUUAGCUAGUUGGUAGGGUAAAAGCCUACCAAGGCGACGAUCCUUAGCUGGUCUGUGAGGAUGAUAAGCCACGCUGGGACUGAGGCACGGCCCAGACUCCUACGGGAGGCAGCAGUGGGGAAUAUUGGACAAUGGGCGAAAGCCUGGUCCAGCAAUGCGGCGUGAGUGAUGAAGGCCGUAGGGUUGUAAAGCUGUUUUACCCGGGAUGAUAAUGACAGUACCGGGAGAAUAAGCACCGGCUAACUCCGUG